rnacentral:rRNA from 1 species
CCUGGCUCAGGAUGAACGCGGGCGGCGUGCUUAACACAUGCAAGUCGAACGAUGAUCCGGUGCUUGCACCGGUGAUUAGUGGCGAACGGGUGAGUAACACGUGAGUAACCUGCCCUUAACUCUGGGAUAAGCCUGGGAAACUGGGUCUAAUACCGGAUAUGACUCCUCAUCGCAUGGUGGGGGGUGGAAAGCUUUAUUGUGGUUUUGGAUGGACUCGCGGCCUAUCAGCUUGUUGGUGAGGUAAUGGCUCACCAAGGCGACGACGGGUAGCCGGCCUGAGAGGGUGACCGGCCACACUGGGACUGAGACACGGCCCAGACUCCUACGGGAGGCAGCAGUGGGGAAUAUUGCACAAUGGGCGCAAGCCUGAUGCAGCGACGCCGCGUGAGGGAUGACGGCCUUCGGGUUGUAAACCUCUUUCAGUAGGGAAGAAGCGAAAGUGAACGGUACCUGCAGAAGAAGCGCCGGCUAACUA